rnacentral:rRNA from 1 species
CGGGACUCUUCGGAGUUCAGUGGCGGACGGGUGAGUAACGCGUGAGAAUCUGCCUAGAGGAUGGGGACAACCACGGGAAACUGUGGCUAAUACCCAAUGAGCGGAGACGUUAAAGAUUUAUCGCCUCUAGAGGAGCUCGCGUCUGAUUAGCUAGUUGGUGGGGUAAAAGCCUACCAAGGCGACGAUCAGUAGCUGGUCUGAGAGGACAACCAGCCACACUGGGACUGAGACACGGCCCAGACUCCUACGGGAGGCAGCAGUGGGGAAUUUUCCGCAAUGGGCGAAAGCCUGACGGAGCAAUACCGCGUGAGGGAGGAAGGCUCUUGGGUCGUAAACCUCUUUUCUCAGGGAAGAAGAAAGUGACGGUACCUGAGGAAUCAGCCUCGGCUAACUCCGUGCCAGCAGCCGCGGUAAUACGGAGGAGGCAAGCGUUAUCCGGAAUUAUUGGGCGUAAAGCGUCCGUAGGUGGCUCUUCAAGUCUGCUGUCAAAGAGUGGGGCUUAACUCCAGAAAGGCAGUGGAAACUGAAAGGCUAGAGAGCCGUAGGGGUAGAGGGAAUUCCCGGUGUAGCGGUGAAAUGCGUAGAGAUCGGGAAGAACAUCGGUGGCGAAAGCGCUCUACUGGACGGUAUCUGACACUGAGGGACGAAAGCUAGGGGAGCGAAUGGGAUUAGAUACCCCAGUAGUCCUAGC